rnacentral:misc_RNA from 1 species
UCCGGCUUACCACCGGCGGUCCCACUAGAGUGCCCAACUAAAUGCUGGCAACUAAUGGCGAGGGUUGCGCUCGUUGCGGGACUUAACCCAACACCUCACGGCACGAGCUGACGACAGCCAUGCACCACCUGCACAGAAGUCCCUUGCGGGAGGUUCUGGCUUUCACCAAAAUUUCCUCUGCAUGUCAAACCCAGGUAAGGUUCUUCGCGUUGCCUCGAAUUAAACCGCACGCUCCACCGCUUGUGCGGGUCCCCGUCAAUUCCUUUGAGUUUUAGCCUUGCGGCCGUACUCCCCAGGCGGGAUGCUUAAAGCGUUAGCUGCGGCACGGGGGGGGUCGACACCUCCCACACCUAGCAUCCACCGUUUAGGGCGUGGACUAC